UACGUAGGGAGCAAGCGUUGUCCGGAUUUACUGGGUGUAAAGGGUGCGUAGGCGGCUUUGUAAGUCAGAAGUGAAAUCUAUGGGCUUAACCCAUAAACUGCUUUUGAAACUGCAGGGCUUGAGUGAAGUAGAGGUAGGCGGAAUUCCCGGUGUAGCGGUGAAAUGCGUAGAGAUCGGGAGGAACACCAGUGGCGAAGGCGGCCUACUGGGCUUUAACUGACGCUGAGGCACGAAAGCGUGGGUAGCAAACAGG
rnacentral:rRNA from 1 species